rnacentral:lncRNA from 1 species
CCAACUGUGCCAGGGGCGUAGAAUGGGCCUCACUGGUCUUUCUCUUACAUAAUCAUAACAUAGCAUGACAUAACAUUCCAUAAUGCCAGGGGCGUAGAAUGGGCCUCACUGGUCUUUCUCUUACAUAGUGCCAGGGGCGUAGAAUGGGCCUCACUGGUCUUUCGUACCGUAUCAUCAUCAUAUCAUAACAUACGAGGACUAAAGGAUCAUUCAACAUUCAUCCACAUCAUCAACAUAUUAUGCAAUGCAACAUAUUCGUGAUUUCUAAUGCAAACAACCUAAAAUAUCUCAUGGCAUUCAUGAUGCGUGAAUCAUGCUAAAACGGGUUUAUUAUUUAAAAGCAUAAGAGUUAUUCUACUCACCUCUAGCUGAAGCUCUACUGACUCAGAAGCAGCUGAACUCACUGCUGGGGUCCUCGGUUCCUCGGGUCCGAACCUACACAGGUGGACUCAAAUGAGGGACCAACCAAACAUGAACAUAACUCUAAACUACUCCCC